UGGGGAAAAUAGAGAUUACGUAGGGUAAAAAAACUUCAAAAUCCGUAUGUCAACUGUCUGAAACUUCUAAGAGAAGACACUGUAAUCAAGAAGUACAAGCUGGAUACUAUAAUCAAUAACAAUUCAGGUAAUUAAAAAGCCCUUUGGAUUGAAGACUUGAUGAAGGAAGUAAAAAAUACAUGAGAGAGCUUAGAGCAUAGCUGAAGCAAUCUCAAAGUAGAGGCUGGGCACGGUGGCUCACACCUGUAAUCCCAGCACUUUGGGAGGCCAAGGCAGGUGGAUCUCUUAAGGUCAGGAGUUCGAGACCAGCUUGGCCAACAUGGUGAAACCCUGUCUCUACUAAAAAUACAAAAAAUUAGCUGGGUGCGUUGGCAAGCACCUGUAAUCCCAGCUACUCGGGAGGCUGAGGCAGGAGAAUGGCUUGAACCUGGGAGGUGGAGCUUGCAGUGAGCCGAGAUCAUGCCACUGUACUCCAGCCUGGAAGAUAGAGUUAGACUGUCUCAAAAAAAAAAAAAAAAAAAAGUGAGAAAAAGAAGUAGGAGAGAAAGGAUAAGAAAAUUAGAGAGCUGGUCAAGGAGGACUAACCUCUAAAUAACAGGAGUCCAGAGAGAACAGAGGAAGUGGAAGGGAGAAAAUUAAAAAUGAAAAAUUCAUAAAAAUGUCCCACAAUCAAAGGACAUGAGUUUCCAGUUUGAAAGGGCCACUGGAGCAUCAGCACAAUGGUUAAAAAUGGGCCCAUGCCAGAUAUAUCAUCAUGAAAUUUCAAAUUUCUAGAACCCAACAGAUGAUUCUACAAGCUUCUGGAGAGAAAAACAUUCUUACACACAAGAUCCAUAACAAUCAGAAUGCCUUGGGCUUUUCAAUAGCUGAAGCAUUGAAAGCUGGAACAGUGGAGUGAUACUUUCAAAAUUGCCGGGGAACACUGGGCAUGGUGGUGUAUGCCUGUAGUCCCAGCUAUUCAGGAGGCUGAUGGGGGAGGAUCGCUUGAGCUCAGGAGUUCUGGGCUGUAGUGUGCUAUGCCAAUCGGGUGUCCACGCUAAGUUCAGCAUCAAUAUAGUGACCUCCUGGGGGUGGGGGACCACCAGAUUGUCUAGGAAAGGGUGAAUUGGCCCAGAUUGGAACUGGAGCAGGUCAAAACUCCUAUGCUGAUCAAUAGUGGGAUCGUACUUGGGCAUAGCCACUGCAUGCCAGCCUGGGCAACAUGGUGAGGGUCCAUCUCUUUAAAAAAAAUUACCAGGAAAAAUGGUCUCCAGCUGGAAUUCUAUACACAGUCAAAUGUCAAGCAAAAGAGAAGGGAGAAUUCAAACAUUUUCAGACCUGCAAGACCCUAGAAAAAGUUUACCUCCCCUAUUACCUUUCUCAGGAAGUCACUACAGAAAAGUACCCCACCAAAAAAAGGGUCUUCUUUCUAAGUCAAGAAAGAAGAUGAUAUGGGGUACAGGAGGUGACAAAGUGGUGAGAUGAAGGGGACCCCAACAUAGUUUUUUGUUUUGUUUUGUUUUUUGUUUUUUAACCCAAACCAAAAAUGGUCAAUACCCAACAUAGUUUUAGAAGGAUUUCUCUGAAUUCUGCUGUACAAUGGGCCUCCAGGUUGGAGUCCUUCAAAAGGUUCUUCAAAUACUGAAAUUAAUAGAAUACUCAUCAGAGUUGACUAAAAUAUCAGCCUUCAUUACUCUCUGCCUCCCUACUCUCUUUGUUUCUGCUUUGUGACACUUAUCCACACCUG
rnacentral:lncRNA from 1 species